rnacentral:rRNA from 1 species
AUGGUGGCAGCCACCAUGUCCCUCUCCACCUCGACCUUUGCCGGCAAGGCGGUGCAGAAUGUACCAUCUUCGGCUCUCUUUGGUGAGGCCCGCGUCACCAUGCGCAAGACUGCAGCGAAGGCGAAGCAGGUUUCCUCUGGCAGCCCAUGGUACGGCGCUGACCGUGUGCUCUACCUCGGGCCACUCUCUGGUGAGCCCCCGAGCUACCUGACAGGUGAGUUCCCUGGCGACUAUGGGUGGGACACUACCGGACUUUCAGCUGACCCUGAGACCUUCGCCAAGAACCGGGAGCUGGAGGUGAUCCAUUGCCGCUGGGCCAUGCUCGGGGCACUUGGUUGUGUCUUCCCUGAGUUGCUCGCCCGCAACGGCGUCACCUUCGGUGAGGCUGUUUGGUUCAAGGCCGGCUCCCAAAUCUUUAGUGAGGGUGGUCUCGACUACCUCGGCAACCCCAGCCUUGUGCACGCGCAAAGCAUCCUAGCUAUUUGGGCAUGCCAGGUCGUGCUCAUGGGUGCCGUCGAGGGGUACCGCGUUGCCGGUGGCCCACUCGGAGAGAUCGUUGACCCACUCUACCCAGGCGGCAGCUUCGACCCUCUUGGCUUGGCCGAAGACCCUGAGGCAUUCACCGAGCUCAAGGUGAAGGAGAUCAAGAACGGUCGCCUCGCCAUGUUCUCAAUGUUUGGCUUCUUUGUCCAAGCUAUCGUCACGGGCAAGGGCCCACUGGAGAACCUCGCUGACCACAUCGCCGACCCUGUCAACAACAACGCAUGGGCAUUCGCCACCAACUUUGUCCCCGGCAAGUAA